AAAUAAUUUAGAUUUCAUUUCAGGUGAUGAUAUUUCUGAUUUACCGUUUACAAGUACGGAGGAAUUAAAAAAUAUUAAACAUUAAGAUUGCACAGUAAUUUUGGUGGGAAUCGUUGAAACCAUCGAGGAUCCACGAUUAGUGGGUAAAAUGGGAAAACAAAAAAGAAGAUGGAGGUUUUUUAUAAAUAACAAUGCAGGCGACAGAAUUCAGAUCGUUCUUUGGCAAAAUGACAUUAAAAAAUUUCAAGGAAAAAUUAUGUUUGAUUACAAAAUUAUAAUCGACGGAGGAUAUUCAAAAAUUCAAUUAAAUAAAGAUUGGAAUCUUGGAACAGUGGAUUUUAAAGUCACCAUCAACAACAAUACAAUUAUUACAUGCAUU